GGGGGAAAAAUUAAUAAUAAAUUAUAAAAAAAAAAUUUUUAAAAAUAUAUUUUAAUGGGGGUUAAAGUAUAUAUAUAGAAAAAAUUUAAAAAUUUAUAGUGAAAUAGUAUUAUAAAAGAAUUUAGAAAUAAGGGAGGAAUAAUUUAUAAAAAAGUAAAUUUAAUUUAUUGUAUCUUGUGUAUCAGAGUUUAUUAAUAAUAAUUAUAAAAUAAUAAUUUCUCGAAUUUAAAAGAGUUAAUUAAUUAUAAAAGUUAAUGUUAAAUAAUUAUUUUUAAUAAUUAAUUGGCAAUGAAAUGUUAAUCGUUUUUAAAAAUAUCUAGUUUUUUUAGAAAAAAAUUUAAUUUUAAAUAUUAUAUUUAAAAUUUUUAUUAAAAAAAAAUUUUAUUGGUUAAUAUUAAAUAUUUUAAGGGAUAAGCUUUAAGAUAAAUUUUUAUAAUAAAUUAUUUAAUUAUAUUAAAAUUAUAAAAUUUAAAUUGUUUUAUGAAUUAUAAUUUUUUACAAAUAAUUUAGUUUAAAUUAAAAUUUAAAAGAAAAAAUUUAAAUUUUUAUAAAAAAAUAUAUUUUAAUAAAAUAAAAUUAGAUAUAAUGAUAAAAUUAGUAUAUAAUUUUUUUAAUAAUAGAAAAAUUAUUAAAAGUUAAUAAAAGGAAUUCGGCAAAAUUUUAUAUUCACUUGUUUAUCAAAAACAUGUCUUUUUGGGAAUAAUUUAAAGUCUAAUCUGCCCACUGAUAAAUUAUUAAAGGGCUGCAGUAUUUUGACUGUACAAAGGUAGCAUAAUCAAUAGUCUCUUAAUUGGUGACUUGUAUGAAAGAUUGGAUGAAAUAUAUACUGUCUCUGGUUAAUUUAUAGAAAUUAAUUUUUUAGUAAAAAAGCUAAAAUAAUUUUAAAAGACGAGAAGACCCUAUAGAGUUUAAUAAUUUAUUUAAUUAUUAUUAAUAUAUAAUUUUUAAAAUUAAAAUUAAAUAAAUUAUUUUGUUGGGGUGACAGAAAAAUUAAAUUAACUUUUUUUAAUUAUUUACAUUAAUUUAUGGUUAAAUGAUCCAUUUAUAAUGAUUAAAAGAAAAAAUUACCUUAGGGAUAACAGCGUAAUUUUUUUUUUUAGUUCAAAUAGGAAAAAAAGUUUGCGACCUCGAUGUUGGAUUAAGAUAAAAUUUAAAUGCAAAAGUUUAAAAUUUUGAUCUGUUCGAUCAUUAAAAUCUUACAUGAUCUGAGUUCAAACCGGUGUAAGCCAGGUUGGUUUCUAUCUUUAAAUAAUUAUAAUAUUUUAGUACGAAAGGAUCAAAUAUUAAAAAUAAUUUUAAUUAAGUGAAUGUUAUUAAUAGUUAAUGAUA
rnacentral:rRNA from 1 species